GCCGUUUCAGCGGGGCUGUGCUACGGGGCUCUGGGCUCGGAUACCGGCGGUUCAAUCCGCCAGCCGGCA
rnacentral:tRNA from 1 species